GACGUAGGGGGCUAGCGUUGUUCGGAAUUACUGGGCGUAAAGCGCACGUAGGCGGCUUUGUAAGUUAGAGGUGAAAGCCCAGGGCUCAACCCUGGAAUUGCCUUUAAGACUGCAUCGCUAGAAUUGUGGAGAGGUAAGUGGAAUUCCGAGUGUAGAGGUGAAAUUCGUAGAUAUUCGGAAGAACACCAGUGGCGAAGGCGGCUUACUGGUCCGGUUCUGACGCUGAGGCGCGAAAGCGUGGGGAGCAAACAGG
rnacentral:rRNA from 1 species